GAUCAUAAAUAAUUCAGAGCUCUUUUCUAGGAAGGGCAAGAAGCAAGAUGAGUUUCAAGGGUUGGCAAAAUGGCGGCUUCCGAUCAAAUUUCAUCUUCAUUGAACUGUCUUCAAAAAAAUCUCUGGCCUUUUGUCAACAAAUAAAUCCUUGAAUCAUCAACAGAAAGCCUUGCUAGUUCACAAACCCGCAUUCAUGAUACUYAUUUCAAAGUUUAAGAGGCAAUUGAUCGAUUUUUAGAGGAAAUUGCCAUUGAAGAUUGAAUAUUCUUUAGGAAAUCUAGCCGAUGAAGAUGAGAUGGCUAAUUUACAACAAGAAACUGACUAGUGUUCUGGGAAGGAAGGCGCCGCAAUGCCGUUGAUGAAUUUUUGUAUAAAUAAUAAUUAACCCUUUUUUCCACAGACAUAGCGGAGGUUUUCUUUUAUCAUUGAAUAAGAGCGAACUUUUAGUCGUUGUUUACUAAAAAGGAGAGAAACUUGAUUGAUAAAUUAAGUUCUAAAAACACCUCGAGGUGAGAAACUAAUUGCCAAAGGCGCCAUCACCGGUGACACCGCUCGUUGUUCACAGAUUCCAAACUUGUACACAACCAUCUUUGUACAAUAUUACGAAUGGUAAUUACAAUACAAUCGCAAGGAAAACUAAAAAAAAUAUUCAACAAUUAAUGUCCUCGUAUGAUUGUAAGUGUAAGUCACAUGGUGACUUUAUCAGGCACUCUCGUCGUUUGGGAAACCUUUUGUUUUAACAACAUUAUCACUUUAUUGUACUUCAGGUUAAAGUACGUAGAUUGUUCAAACAUCGUGAACUAAUUGUACUAAACUAUGAAUCGAGGCUAGGUAGUGGUCGAAGUGAUUAAAUAAUGGUGUAACCA